rnacentral:misc_RNA from 1 species
GAAAUGCGAUAAGUAGUGUGAAUUGCAGAAUUCAGUGAAUCAUCGAAUCUUUGAACGCACAUUGCGCCCCUUGGUAUUCCAUGGGGCAUGCCUGUUCGAGCGUCAUCUACACCCUCAAGCUCUGCUUGGUGUUGGGCGUCUGUCCCGCCUCGGCGCGCGGACUCGCCCCAAAGGCAUUGGCAGCGGUCCACGGCCCCUCUCGCGCAGCACAUUGCGCUUCUCGAGGCGGCCCGGCCCGCAUCCACGAAGCCCACAUUACCGUCUUUGACCUCGGAUCAGGUAGGGAUACCCGCUGAACUUAA